AACCUGCCUUGUAGCGGGGGAUAACUAUUGGAAACGAUAGCUAAUGCCGCAUAACAAUGGAUGACACAUGUCAUUUAUUUGAAAGGGGCAAUUGCUCCACUACAAGAUGGACCUGCGUUGUAUUAGCUAGUAGGUGAGGUAACGGCUCACCUAGGCGACGAUACAUAGCCGACCUGAGAGGGUGAUCGGCCACACUGGGACUGAGACACGGCCCAG
rnacentral:rRNA from 1 species